CCCCCACCAGCCCGAGCAGCAUCUCAGCAGUCGAUGGUGAUAAAAGCAGUAAGACCUUUCCCUUACUAUAGAACCUCCAGGCUAGUACAGUUAUAACGUGUGGGCUUCUUAUCCGAGGGGUCGGCGGUUCGCGCCCCGCCCAGGUGCGAGAAGUUGCAAUUGUCGCGUGGGGAUUACUGCUGUGGCUGGGCACCACGGCGGGUAAGGACAAAAGCCGAGUCAGCACCAGCUGACACACUGUUAGCGAGUCGACAUUAGUCGGCACAGGCCGGGCUCCCCUCAUAACCCGGGCGAGUCUCAGCUUCGCAUAUCGGACUUGUCCUUAUCCCUUUCUAAGUGUGACAAUUAAAGGUAGAGUACGUAGACCGGCCAAAGGUAUAUUUUGUUUUCAAUGUUGCUUCUGAUGAUGGCGAAAGCCAACUGUUGUAUUACGAAGCUGUGCUAUCACACAGCUGCGUGACCUCCCACAUGCGUCGUAUGGUUGCGUUCCUUCCCUCUCUCUUGGGUUUGGGCCCAGAAUGGCGUCAGGGGAAUUUCCAAACGAGGUUCAAAAUUGUAAAAAAAGUUGAAAGUAAUGAUACAAGUUUUUUUACGGAAUGACAGUCUUUACUGAGGUUGAGGAAUGCAUACGGUCCCCAUGCGGUACCUUUACUUUUUGAGGGUGUUGAUUGGGCAGACAGUAUUGGCAAAGAGUGGUAUUUUCCGUUCAUUAUUCCUGAGGUAAGAGAAUAUGAUCGGGAUUUUUUUUGUAUGUGUGAAAAUCGUCCAGUGUUUGCGAUGUUUCACGCUUUCUUCUCUGGAAAGGGCCGAACCAGCCCUCCAGCAUUUAAGGGGCUUGCAAGUUUGUCGGCAAUGUAAGAUCGACAGUUAUUUCCGUGUAGAUGUACAAUUUUCAGCCAGAUUUCAGAUUUCCAGGUUCUGCGCCUCCAAUGAGCAACGUCUUCAGAUUUUGGCAAGGUUUGAUUCCCGAUCACAGCCAAAAGAAAUCCAUCCUCCCCAUCCAGGUAGGCGAGUGCUUGUAUAUCUCUAUAAGUCGCGACGUUGAUCUUAUUGAAUUGACUUCGAACUGCUAUUGACAUCAAAUGAACUGCAUUCUGAUUUACAUUUUUUCUCAUAGGCUUACCCUACUGACAUCAGAUUUCCGAAGAGAUUCGUUUCAGGUCCUCAUUCGCCAGCACCUCCUAGGCUCUUAGCCACCUUGACUCGCAAAUCUGUGCUGAGUUACACCUGCUGCAUGAAGCCCAACCAACGUGGAGCUUCACCUCAAUGUCUCCUGCAGCCAAGGCGGAAGGACGAAACCGCGGUGAGUGGCGUCAGAAAAUCGCGCUGACACUGUCCUUGAUGAUGACCUAUGCUGACCUUUGACCCGAAUUUUAUGCUCAGCGUCGGCGUUUGCAGAGAGACUGAGACGAUACCCUGGCGGGCCUGGUCGACGACAGGUGCUGAAUGCAGUCGCCGGUACAGGGAGCAGCGCAUGGCCAUCCCGCACAGGACAGUCACACAGCGGGAAGUCCUGUGUGUGGAACGAAAACCAUCACAUGACGUCACAAAUAGAUGUUCCCGAGAUGGUUACCACAUGUGGCCGACUCCACACACUAUUUGCCCGUGCGCUGUCCUUGCCGACUGGCUUUCACUGGCUUUAUUACGAACAUCUGGACAGUUUUUUUCCACUCAUCGGCCAAAGGUUGUUUCGAGGUGACUGGAAUCUGCGCCACAACCAAGGUUCCCGCCACCUCCUCGCGACCGUGGCCGUGGAGUUUUUUUCCUGUCCAGCCGCCAGAUCGGCACUGACAUGAGCCGUUGCCAUGUUUACUUUAAGAUGCAUAUCUCAUGUGUGGUCUUCUGUUAUAUACGGUGCCAUGUCGCCACGUGUGGAUCAUUUGCCAUCAGGCUUUAAGCAACUGACAAUAAAUGUCGAUUUCACGCCAAGUUUGUUUCCUUGUCACUAGAAACGCAGGUGUAGUGGCCUGAUGUGUAUGUAUAUAUAUGUAUACAUAUAUAUGUAUAUAU